rnacentral:rRNA from 1 species
AGUGAACGCUGGCGGUAGGCCUAGCACAUGCAAGUCGAACGGCAGCACAGUAAGAGCUUGCUCUUACGGGUGGCGAGUGGCGGACGGGUGAGGAAUACAUCGGAAUCUACUUUUUCGUGGGGGAUAACGUAGGGAAACUUACACUAAUACCGCAUACGACCUACGGGUGAAAGCAGGGGAUCUUCGGACCUUGCGCGAUUGAAUGAGCCGAUGUCGGAUUAGCUAGUUGGCGGGGUAAAGGCCCACCAAGGCGACGAUCCGUAGCUGGUCUGAGAGGAUGAUCAGCCACACUGGAACUGAGACACGGUCCAGACUCCUACGGGAGGCAGCAGUGGGGAAUAUUGGACAAUGGGCGCAAGCCUGAUCCAGCCAUACCGCGUGGGUGAAGAAGGCCUUCGGGUUGUAAAGCCCUUUUGUUGGGAAAGAAAAGCAGCAGGUUAAUACCCCGCUGUUCUGACGGUACCCAAAGAAUAAGCACCGGCUAACUUCGUG